rnacentral:lncRNA from 1 species
UUUCAGAUCCAACUUAGAAAUAAUGUUUCACUCAAGAUAAGGCUUGUGGUUUAGGAGAUUCUGGUCUGGCUUGCUUCAUUUUAAGACUUCUAUCAUCUCUUUUCAAAACCUGAGGAGGACCUCAUUUCCUGUUUGAUAGUUCCUCAUGCUUUGCCAGCCUCCGGGUCUUUAGGGAAGCUUGCCAAGAGUUCCCGACUGGGAAGGACAAGCUGAGUUCAUCACAGAGAAUGAGCUGGCACCACAGUUGUAGUGACUCACCAACCUGGUUGCCCACUUUGCAAUGGCAAGAACCACACCAUUUAGUUGAAAGACCUGUGCUUUAGUGAAGUGCAUUUGGAUCGCAUGGCAAAAUCAUCUCCGAUCUUCCCUUUCACUGGCUGUCUUGAGAACAAGACAAAAAAGGAAAUUACACCCUGAGUUAUAUUUUGUUUCUUAAAAAUUAAGAUUAAUUAACAGAUACUUGGCUUUUAUGUCCAUUCUGUUCUAAGAAUUUAGUGGUGAUUACAAAACGGUGAAAAUAGGUCACAGCAAAAUGAACAUUCAAGAUUAGGUUAAAACACACCUCUGAAAUUUGAAAUGAAUCAGUAUUCAUUUUUGGAGUGUCAGUUACUACAUUUCUGUAAUUCAUCAUUUUUUUUUUCUUGGCUUAGAGUCAGGAUGAGAAAUAAUAUUUAGACCAAAGACAUCGUUUUGUUAUAUAGUCACUGCUUUUUAAAAUGCAAAUCCACUCUCCCCUCACCCAUGCUUGAUCAUUUAUGCGUUCUUAUGCUCUCGUGCUCCCCCCCACACACACACACAUACACACACACACAGCACCCAGAUGCUGGAGAAAGCCCUUUCAAGACAUCUAGGACCUGGGUCAUGUAAAAGGUAGAUGGGAAAAUUAAAGGAGCUCCAGAGUGGUAGCAACACUAAGAAUCAUUGAUUUCAUUUUAUGUAAAGUCAUUGUAUGGUAUAUAGGUAUUUUUUCUAAGAAAUAUUGUUAUGAUUAACGGAUAUUACACUUAUAAAUGAUUACAAUUGUCAUCUAAUUUCAAGUCACAGGAGGAGCCAUUUAAAGUAUUUUGUGUUACAAUCUGUCACCAAAAAUCAACUGGUAAAGUCUUAAAAUGUGCAUAGGUUUGCCUCAUGGGGAAUUAAAUUUUAAUUUACAAGUCUUUCUAUUGUGGAAACUUAGGACAAGAUAACAUUUGAUAUCAACAAAUUCUAUAUUGUUCUAAUAUGUUCUAUCAACAUAUUCUAUGGCUUUUUUUAGCUUAAAUGGCAUUGCUCUAAAAUUAAGUACACAUUGCAUUUUUUCCUCCCUGUGUUCUUUCGUUACACGUAGAAUAUUUUUACAAUGUUGUUUUUAAUGUACACAUUAUUAAGUCACUUGGUAAAAGAUAAAAUAUACAAUAAUGAUAACAGUCCCUUGCUUUUCUCCUAAUUUUAUUAUUUCAAGUUAAACAAAAAUGGACACUUUUCUCUCAGGGAAAAAAAAUACUGAGUUUAUUUUUGAUGCAAAAAUGAGUAUUUAGUUACAGUAUUUUUCCCUAGUAGAUUAGCAUUUAUGAUGGAUCUUAUUUCAAAGCUGAUUAUUCUCAAAGAAAAGCAGAGUGAUAUUAAAUAUUCCAAGUAAAUUACAUUGUUUAAAAAGUAUUUUAAUGCAUUAUUCAAAUUGUUGUCAGCUAUUGGAAAGAAAAAAAAAAAAAAAACAGUAUCUGUUCCAAAUGUGAAAUUUUGGUGUUUGGAAGACUUUAUAAAUUCCAAUUUCUUUAGGAGAGCAGUAGAAAUCAAUAUCAAAGGCAUAUGCAAUUUAGAACUCCCUCAAUUUUUUUUUUUUUUUUACUUUAACUGUGAUAAGCAUCUCUGCAAGGUAGGUUUUAACAUAUUUUUUCCUAAUUUUUUCCCCUCCUUUCAGUAAGAAGGAUAAGCUUUUAGAGUACCCAGUCACCGUGGUAACUGCCAAAAAAAUUCUCCUGAAGUUUGAAGAGGUCAGCUAGCAGGGUCAACAGCUCUGGCCUCUCUCUGAGCUCGGUCUAGCAUGCCCCAGCCUGUGGUUGGAGUGUCAGACCAGAUCUGACCCUGGGAGGUGGACUAUUCCGGCUCUGAUAUAAAUUUUUUGAGUCAGUUCAUGGCCUGGACUCUCCAGGUGGCCUCCAAAAUCUAUUUUGACCCCCUGACCCUGUCUCACGGAGGCAUAGCAUCCACCCUAAGUAAGGAUUUAGCCAGGAAUGACAGCUUUCCACUGAGUGUUAUUGGGGACAGUAUAAACAGUUUGGAAAGCAAGUAAGGAGGUGUGAGCGCUAGAAAUCAUUAAAAGCACAUUAAAAAACAACUUAAGAAAUCUUUCUUUGUAAAGCAAAGUUUAAAACAUAUAUUGUUACAUAAUUUCUAUAUGAUUUGAAGGAUUUGUUAAAGGAAGAAAAAUUUUGAAUAUAAAACUCAAUAAACCACACAUCUUUAUCCUCUUAAAUACUUUGUUACAAAUAUGCAGAUAAGAGGGACUGACUUGCAACAAAAUAGGCACAGCAGAGAUGCAACAUACACAGAAAGGGAAGCUAGUUAUUAAAAUACAUGAGGAGAUAGAGAGUUUCUAGGAUUGUAAAUACGAAAUUAUGUGCGUGCACCUUGAUAUGUUUAAAAUGGGAAAAUUAGGAAUCCUACAAAACAACAACCAUCUGGAAUGAAGACACACGGGCACUGCGGCACUGCAGGCCAAGUGCCUUGCAACUUUGUAAAACAAAUAGCCAGUAUAACCAUUUGGAUACAAAGGAGAUUAAAAAUUUUAAAUAUGGAAGGUGAGAUGUGAAAGCACAAAAGAAGAAAAAACAAUACGUUAAUAGUGUCUCUGAAUUAACUAUGAUGUUUAAGUUUAAGAUUAUUAAAAGCUUGGAAAAUAAAAAUAAUGUAUAUAAAUCAUCA